ensembl:lncRNA
GUUUUUGUUGCUGGUGUGAGUCAACAAAAACAUCCGCUCCUUCUGGUCCACUGGGCCCCGCCCCCCUCCUCGCACAGCCCGUACGGUCAGUCCCGUCAAUCACAGUGUACUGUCCCCUCUGCUCAAAGCAACCUGCUACACUCCACUCACCUGUCUGAAACUCUGUCUGCUGAACACCAGAUCCCUCAGUAAUAAGGCCCUUUUGAUAAAUGACUUUAUUGUUGACCAGAGCCUAGAUAUUCUCUGACUCACUGAGACCUGGCAACAACCAAAUGACUUCUCCCAUCUAAAUGAAGCUGUCCCACCAGGUUUUUCGUUUAUUAGUAAACCCCGGGUUAAUGGGAGGGGGGGUGGCCUUGCUCUCCUCCAUCGUGAUAACAUCAAAGUCACCACUGUCACAGUCCCCCUUCAUUCCUCCUUUGAAUGUCUAGCUGUAAAACUCUCAGGCCCCAAACCCACUAUCAUUGUCACCAUUUACAGACCACCAAAAACCUCAGCCGUUUUCCUCAAUGAAUUCUCAUCACUACUUACAUCUGUAUGUGCAAUGUCCCCCACUGUUAUCCUCCUUGGUGAUUUCAACAUCCACAUUGACAACCCAUCCUGUACUUUUGCUAAUGACUUCACAUCACUUCUGGACUGUCUUGGCAUCACACAACAUGUCAACCUCCCAACCCAUAACAAAGGUCACAUUCUGGAUUUAAUCUGCUGCACUGACAUCACUCCCACUAACCUUGAUGUCAUUGAUUUCCCCAUCUCUGACCACAAAGCUGUACUUUUUGACAUUCAUACCCAACUACACAAAACCAAGGAACAACGGACCAUCUCCUUCAGAAACAUCAAACUUAUCAACACCACAGACCUCUCCACCAUGAUCAGCUCCUACCCCAACCCUCCCCCAGCUUCCUCCCUGACUGACCUGGUGACUCACUACAAUAACUGCCUCUCCUCCUCCCUCACCACCCUGGCCCCCCUGAAAACCCGCUCAGUCUCAUUCACCCACACUGCUCCCUGGUUCACUCCUCAUCUGCGCCAGCUCAAAGCCACUGGUCGUCGACUGGAGCGACUCUACAAUAAGACUCAACUCACUGUACACCGCAAAAUGUAUUCGGAC